CCUACGGGGGGCAGCAGUGGGGAAUAUUGGACAAUGGGGGCAACCCUGAUCCAGCCAUGCCGCGUGUGUGAAGAAGGCCCUCGGGUUGUAAAGCACUUUCAGUGAGGAAGAACGCCUGGUGGUUAAUACCCAUCAGGAAAGACAUCACUCACAGAAGAAGCACCGGCUAACUCCGUGCCAGCAGCCGCGGUAAUACGGAGGGUGCGAGCGUUAAUCGGAAUUACUGGGCGUAAAGCGCGCGUAGGUGGCUUGAUAAGCCGGUUGUGAAAGCCCCGGGCUCAACCUGGGAACGGCAUCCGGAACUGUCAAGCUAGAGUGCAGGAGAGGAAGGUAGAAUUCCCGGUGUAGCGGUGAAAUGCGUAGAGAUCGGGAGGAAUACCAGUGGCGAAGGCGGCCUUCUGGACUGACACUGACACUGAGGUGCGAAAGCGUGGGUAGCACACAGGAUUAGAUACCCGAGUAGUC
rnacentral:rRNA from 1 species